UCUUUAUUCUAUUUAUUGUUGUCGGCAUCAUUUGUAUCAGACGCCGGCGACAUUUCAUACCCUACCGUUUCUCAAGGUUUUCCAACUCACUUGGAAGAGGACCGAUUAAUUAGACAUUUCCUUAAAGUAUUUUUUUCAUCUACAGUGACAUGUAGUAAUUAGAUCAAAAAUACUUGAUUAAGAUUAACGGGUACUAAAAUCAACUGAAGAUUCUAUUUUACCUAAUAGGUGUUAAUGUACACAUACCAGUAACUCCAUUUCCUGAAUGAUUAAUAGGGUUUGAUAUAACUAUAGGCAUGUAACAGUUGUGGUGUGUUUAUAAGGAGCCUGUGAUAUUAUAAAAGAUUGUGAUCCCAAUACUCUGAAAGGGGGGGGGGGGGGGCUGAAUAAAGAACUACUGGAUAUAUUUUAAGUGCCUAACUAAUGCUCAAUUUCUUCAUUGUCAUCACUCUUCAUGGAUCUAGUAGGAGGGGGGUCAGGGGGGGUCCAACCGCAGAAUUUAUAUUUCUUAAAAUUACAUUAUAAAAUUACCAAAAAUAAGGCUCGGACUCUCCUGUGCAUACUCAAAUAACCGUUGACCCCCCCCCCCACCCCCCAUUUUUCCUAGAUCUGUGCAAUCUGUUCUACAUUCCAUGGUUAAUGCUGGUUCAUGAAAUAAGAGAAUGUACUUUAAUUUCAAUGUUUCUCAUCAACAUUAUGUGCUUAAAAUGAUUAUCAAUUUGAUUUUCAAAUUCUGUGAUAGCAUUGUCAUAUUGCUUUAUAAUCUCACGGAGGUUCGAAAUAAGUAAGAUUAUAUUUCAUCGUGUCUGAUUGUCAUGAAGAUUUGGACUAAAGGGUAUUGCAAAAUAUUUAAGCAACAAUUAAACAAACAUAUUAUCCUGUUACAUAAAUAAUACCUGUAUUCUAUCUAUUUUGUACAGUACUGCAAUUUGUGCCAUGGGAGCAGUGUUGGUGCUAAGUUGUAUAUAUAGUGUAAUAAAAAACCAAAUAAUCAGUGCAAUAGCUUCCUAUACAUAGCCUUUGUUGUAGCCUAGUUGUCUGUUACGGCCUUACGUGUGUGUGUGUGUGUGUGUGUGUUUGUAUGUGUCUUGAGAUUGAGAUAGAAUGUGAGUGAUGUUAAAUAACUACAGACAUUGACCUUCACCUUCUCACAGACGUUAACCCGUGUCAGGGUUAGACCGAGAUUUAGAUAGCAUGAGGUUCCUGUGCUUACUGGACACUUUCUGGUUCUGAGUUUAAAUUACCUAUAAGUGUACGUGAUGCCUUGAAUUUGAUUUUUAGAAUAUGCAGUAUAACUGUGUGUGUAUGGGUAUCUUGUAAGUUUGAGAUGUAUCAUUUUCUGUCAAUAAAUAAAACUAGAAUUUGUUAUAGAAAUAUUCUGUAUGACAACAGAAAUGUUUCUCAGAUGAAUCAUUGCAACGAAAUUCCUGAUGAUAUUCUUACGUAACCAUUUGUUUUGAUUCAAUGUUGUUUGAAAUAACAUACAUGUAUGUACAGACAUUUUUUCAUAUUUCAAAUAAAUGAGUAAAAGU
rnacentral:misc_RNA from 1 species